rnacentral:tRNA from 1 species
GCGGGUGUAGUUCAGUGGUAGAACCUCAGCCUUCCAAGCUGAUGACGGCGGUUCAAUUCCGCUCACCCGCUCCA